UCACUGGUGGACUAGUGGUUAGGCCACUUCACUCUCACCACUGUAGCACGGGUUCGAUUCCUGGCUAGGGAA